rnacentral:lncRNA from 1 species
CGAGCGGAAGGGAACGGCGGCCGGAAGGGCCCCCGCCUCAGCCUCCCGAGAGUAGGCCAUGGCGCUGAGUCCACGGCUGACCUCGUCAUACGGCGCCUCCCUGCGUCCCGCCUCACCGCCCCCCGUCUACUCACCAGCCGCGGGGAUCCUACUGCGGGGGGAAGAACGGGGAAAAUGGCUACCGUCCUUUCCCAAGUAGACACCAGAAGCAGGAACUGGUGUGCUUGGCAAGCCUUGGUUGACAGGAAAUGGCCUCAACCCAGAGGUUUUAGGCAGCCCCCAUCUUAGCAAAUGGCGUGUUCCCUGUACUUACUCGGAUCACGCGAGUUGUGGUAUCCCUUUGACGUCCCAGUGGUUGGACGAAGCUGCUACCCAAAGCUCUGGCCCACAAGGGAGCCAACCCUGAGCUCCAGAGCAGCCCCACGCACAGGCUACCUGUGAGGGACACUCUUCUCUCCCGCCGCGACACGACCUCCUCCCACGGCACGGAGGACUCGUCUGAGCGAAGGAAGUCCUCUCAGCGAAGGAAAACCCUCGCACGCCCCUCACAGACUCAAAAAUGGAAUCCUUGCCCCCAAGAAAAGAAUCCUUCCCCACCCCACACAAGAGUCGUACAAAGUCCAAAUGUGGCUCCUCUCUUUCAGAACGUUUCAGAAGCCUACUAAUCUCACUUGGUAAAUAAUUACCUCCCUUAAAAGAAAAAAAGGACAAAAAACACACGUGGAAGCACUGUGGAAACUGCCGCCGUCAAAAACUCGAGGCGGAGGGAUAUAGCAAAAUAUAAAAGAUCGAAUCUGAGAAUUUUGGCUUCAACUGUGGGCCGUAGUUUUUUUUUUUGGGGGGGGGGAUGCGUGGGGGCAAGGGGUAACCCAAAUAACUCCUGACACGCACAAAUUUUUCUUAAAACCAAUUUUAAAACUGUUAAGAAUUUUCCACUUUCUUAGGAUAUGCUUUUGAACGCAUUGACCUGUGCCACACGGACUUUACCCUUUAAAUUAAAAAAAAGAAAAAGAAAAAGAAAAAGAAAAAGAAAGGAAUAAAACACACACGGAGAACCCUUAGUUUUGGGUGGUUUGUACAACAGUCCUCCUAGAAGCGGCAAGCUGAAAUUCACACAAGAAGUACAAACAUAACUAUAAAAGUGAAGGUGAAAUCUAUUAAUAUCAAAAGGGCAUAUUUAUAAUCUAUAAUGAUGUUUGCAAAAUAGAUUUUCUUUGGGGGGGGGCAGGGUAACAGGCCCUGAGACAGUGUAACAGAGCCCUGGCUGUCCUGGAACUCAAUUUGUAGACCAGGCUGGCCUCCAGCUUACAAAGCUCUGCCUGCCUCUGUUUCCUGAGUGCUGGUAGAUUUUCUCCUUAACACAAUAUUUUCAUUGUUCCAGAAAAGAGGACACACAUUGCUGAGGAGAGAAGUGGAGAAAAGCCUGUUUGUUUUUUAAUAGGAAAAAAAAAAGUUGUUUUGGACUGUGAGUAGUUAGUUUUGUUAUAGCUUUUAUAAUUUACAUGACAAAAAUGAUGCAUCAUCAUGUUCUGUAGUAUUCUCAUAAAACUUUAUUUUUGCAUCUAUGUUCACCUUGAAAACCUGUGUUUAAUUCUAGAAGACUCAAAGUUUUCAUUGCAUGCUAAAUAAGCUAGAAUGUUGGUGAACUCUCUCUCUUUUCCUUGUCCAGUUUUUUCAUUUUUAUCAAACUCUUACUCUUUGCUCUUUUAAAGUUCUGAACACUGAAGUUAAUAACAAAAGGAGUGAAACAGAAAGGAAGAGGAGAUAGACUCUAAAACUGCAAAUGAACAAACGCUGGGUAAUAGCUCAAAAAAUAAAAAGAUUUUAGAACGUUCCAAACUUAAAGAUAGUUCAUGGGAAUAGGAUAACCAUAUUAAUGCUUUCAGAGAUAGGCUGCUCUGAAGAUGAACCUGCAAUUUACUCGCAGUGGACAAUAACCUCUUAUCUUCUCAUACUAAACCUGGUGGUGACAGUCGCAAAGUUUCCUUCUUGCUUACAAAUCCUUUGUUUAAAUGUAUUAUUAAUUCAUGGUCAUUGUAUCAUAAAGGGGGUUAAUAUAAAAUAAUGAAAAUAAAUGGAUAUAAUGCA